GAAGUCGGCCAGACAGCCGCCCCGCAAGGGGAGGAAAGUCCGGGCUCCAUAGGGCAAGGCGCCAGGUAACACCUGGGGGGCGUGAGCCUACGGAAAGUGCCACAGAAAAUAUACCGCCCCUUCGGGGGUAAGGGUGAAAUGGUGCGGUAAGAGCGCACCGCGCUGGUGGUAACAUCAGUGGCAGGGUAAACCCCGCCGGGAGCAAGACCAAAUAGGGGAACAUAUGGCGCGGCCCGCGUUGUUCCCGGGUAGGUUGCUUGAGGUGCAUGGCGACGUGCAUCCCAGAUGAAUGGCUGUUCAAGACAGAACCCGGCUUAUCGGCCGACUUCAAUU
rnacentral:RNase_P_RNA from 1 species